CCGCCCCGGUUCCCGCCAGCGCCUCUCCCUCCACACCUCCCCACAAGCUGAGGGAGCCGGCUCCGGCCUUGGCCAGCCAAGAAAGGGGCUCCUACAGUGCAGCGGCGGGCUGAAGGGCUCAAGUGCCGCCAAAGUGGGAGCCCAGGCAGAGGAGGCGCCCAGAGCCAGCGAGGGCUGUGAGGACUGCCAGCAUGCUGUCACCUCUCAAUUACACACCAUGGUCAAAUCCUCUCAUAGUACAAGGUAUUUUAACAACUUGCAAAACCCCUAUCUGCAAUACUCAAGAAGACUAAUUUCAGAAUACUUAUCUGUGAAGCUGGAAAGCCAAAAUGAGAUUUCAGAGCCCUCACAGUGCUGGAGGAACAAAGUUGAACUUUAAGCUCAGCCAGGGUGCAGUGUACUAGGUUCCUCAUCUAUAAAAUGGAGAUAAUAAAAGAACCUAUUUCAUAUGGUUCAUUACCCCACCAAAUGAGCUAACCAAUGAGAGGAACUUAAGAAAACUCCUAACACAUGGCCCUGUUCAUCUGGUAAGUUCCCACGCCUGGCAAUGUCACUCGAGGAGUUUGGAG
rnacentral:lncRNA from 10 species